rnacentral:rRNA from 1 species
CAAGGUUCCGUAGGUGAACCUGCGGAAGGAUCAUUG